AUCUGACCCUGACAUCAGCUGAAAAGGAAACCAAGUAAAACUCAGUGAUGUUCAUUGCUUACCACCAAAUCUGUAAACUACGCUAUUUCCGGAAAGGAAAUGGGUGGGGCAAAGGCAGUUACUCUGACUCGUUUUCAGCUCCUGGCACCAAAUUAAGAAUCUUCUGGAACUGAACACAGCUCAAGGACUGACCGCUCUACUGUCUCAAAGAUGCUGGAAACGGAGUCUGCCGUUUCAAUCUCCUUGUCACUGCUGGAGACAGUAUCUGUGACGGCGACCUUUACCGGACCUGUGGUAUGGUUAAUUGGAGCUGUGGUGGCGGUGGCCAUUGUUGCUGCUGUCACUUAUUAUUUCAUAAAUAAGAUAAAGAUGAAUGAGAAUAAAAUGAAAUGAUGGCUGCCUGUUCAGUGUGAAGCCCUGGAUUCCAACUCCCGCCCAAAAAAAUUGUUUAAAGAUACAAUUGUUAUCCAGGCCCUGGUGUACUGUGACAGGAAGGCCGCUGACGACACACAGUACACAUUCCAAAUUUUGGGCGUGAACAAUGUAAGAAGUUUCAUUAAACACAAUUAGAUGUGCUUAUUAGA